UCUCGUUUCAUUAGCUUCUUU
rnacentral:piRNA from 1 species